rnacentral:rRNA from 1 species
UACGUAGGGUGCGAGCGUUGUCCGGAAUUACUGGGCGUAAAGAGCUCGUAGGUGGUUUGUCGCGUUGUUCGUGAAAUCCCACGGCUUAACUGUGGGCGUGCGGGCGAUACGGGCAGACUGGAGUACUGCAGGGGAGACUGGAAUUCCUGGUGUAGCGGUGGAAUGCGCAGAUAUCAGGAGGAACACCGGUGGCGAAGGCGGGUCU